UACGUAGGCAGCAAGCGUUGUUCGGAAUUACUGGGCGUAAAGAGUGUGUAGGUGGUGCUCCAAGUCUGUUGUGAAAUCUCCCGGCUUAACUGGGAGGGUGCGGCGGAAACUGGAAUGCUUGAGGAUGGGAGAGGAAAGCGGAAUUCCUGGUGUAGCGGUGAAAUGCGUAGAUAUCAGGAGGAACACCCGUGGUGUAGACAGCUUUCUGGACCAUUUCUGACACUGAGACACGAAAGCGUGGGUAGCAAACAGG
rnacentral:rRNA from 1 species